GGAGACUGUCGGAAAGCUUUUAUGGAGCGGUUGUGGUCACCUACCGUGGGUGGGAUUACUGAGGGCACGUGAGUGCUCUGUGGAGUUUGCACUGAAAACCAAGGAGGAGCACUGGAGUACGACAUCUAUAGGUUUGUGAGCUCAGCUUCUCUUCUGCAGCAGAAACCAAACACUGGUUUGAUUCCCAGUGAAUUUACAUAUCAUAUAUAUCAUAUCACAGAAUGGCCUGAGUUGAAAAGGACCACAGUGAUCAUCGAGAUUCAACCCCAACCACCAGACCAGGCUUCUCAGAGCCACAUCCAGCCUGGCCUUGAAUGCCUCCAGGGAUGGAGCAUCCAUAUCCUUGGGCAACCUGUUCCAAGCAUCCUAAUGGGAGGGAGAAUAGUGCUUGGGAGGCAUUCCACCUUCACUGUUGUGAGAUGUGAGAAUCCCCGAGAGAAGCACCUCUUCAUGGGCACCUUGAAGGCAGCUUCCUUCACCCUUUCAAAAAAGUCAAACUACAUAAAUCAGGCAGUACGAUUUUGCCCAACCAAACAGCCAUAAUUUGACUACCAAGACUACUUUGUUCCCUGUGUCUUUAAUAGGCAGCUCUUCUUCUUCAUGCAGACAGCUUAAAAUGUGGUACCAAGACCAAGCUGGAUCACUAAGUUUAGUCUGAUGAUUUGAUCUUGUCAUCUUCAUUAUGAAUUAACUCGAGAAUCUGAAACAGAAACAACAUAGCUACAUGAAAUACCAAUACAAUUGCGUGCAAAUACAAAGAUUAACUCAUUCUAACUUGACUUUUCACUGCGUGAUCCUGCACUCCUCGUCGACAUAAAAACUGUUCAGCUGCAAAGGGCCCUUGAGCAUAACGUGACAUUUACAGCAUCUACGAGUAUUUCUUGUUUAUUUCUCAUAAAUUUCCUUUGGUAAUAACUUAGUCACUCGGCAACACUACAGGAUACACAUAUAUUAUAUGAUUAUCUCAUAUUUUAUACAACACAUGUGAAAGUAAUUAAUUUUCCCAGGCAAAUGUCAGACCAUUUAGUUCAUCGUUACAAGCCAAAUAUUUGUGCAACGAUUUGUUACAAAUAUAUGCAUAACCACAGAACACUUUGGCUCCAUAGUAUUUAAUAACUGUAAUUUAAAGGGACACUGUCAGAGCUGUUAAAGUCUCAACUUCUACAUUAGCCUUUGUUCCACAUGCAAUUCCCUUUAGGAUCCAACCUCAAC
ensembl:lncRNA